UCUAAUUUUACUACUAAUUAAUAAUCUCAAUAUGGUCAAAAUGUCCCAGUCAAUCUCUUCCGUCACAGAAGAAGGGACGACGGAAUAUGACGAUCAUUGCACUAUUUGCUUGGAAGACUUGAUUUCCAAGGUGAGGGAGAUGCCUUGUAAGCAUAGGUUUCACUCCCCUUGUAUCGAGUCUUGGCUGCUCAGAAGUGAAUCCUGCCCUCUUUGCAGGAGGCCGUUUCUGAGUGGCAGCAAUCUGAGUCGUAGACUUUGGCGAUUAGUAUAUGCAUAUUUUGCUAAUGUUUUAAUUAUUUUUUGUUGGAUUACAGGUUGGUUGUGUGCAUGGUUGAUUUAUUUGAAUCUAGCUAUUUGCCCAGUAAUAUCCUCUGUUUGCCCUCUUUACCCCUUUGAAAAAGCGACUUGGAUCAUCUCCUCCUUGUUUUUAGUUGUCAUUGUCUUCCUUGUGACCAUUCACCCAUGUCCUGAUGAUCGCCGUGGCGAUCAGGUGAUCGAUGAACUUGAAGGAAACUUGAGAACCCAGUCAUGAUCAUGAUGACCGGAAAAAGCGAGAUGGAAUUCCGGUGAUCAUAAACUUGGCUUUGGUUGAGUUGCGUAAGCACAGCUUUGAUUUUACGCAGACCAAACCCUUAAGCUUUGAUUUUACGCAGACCAAACCCCUAAGCUUUGAUAUAACGCAGACAAAGGCCCCCAAGUUUCUAGUUUUAGAAUGUUUUAAAAGGCAGUAAUCAAAGGUUAACAAAGGUCUAAUUCUCACCCGGAGCAAAGUUCCAAACAAUAGAAAUGUGACCAAACAAAAAGCAUACCUAAAACAGCCCAAACAUAAUCUCCUCAUCUCUCUCUUUAAUCAAACUCUGCAAUAUUUCAUUUCAAAAAAGAAUUAUGUACGUAUUAUAUAUUCUAGGUUUCCGGCAGUGAAAACGGCGUCGUGGUGCGCACUGAGAUGGAAAACGAACAUGAAGUUACAUCGUUCUAUUCAAUCCCCGAUGAAAUACCAGUAACAAAGUUGUAAGAAGCUUGCCUAGCUAUAGUGGAAUCGGCGUUGGAAGAGUAUGACAUUUCAUGCCCACUGAAUCUGGAGGACUGUCUUAAACGACGGGAAUUAAUGUCUCUUAUCUUCCCUAGAUGUGCAUAAAGCUAUGUACGUUCUAGUGCUGGUUCGACUAAAUGAUUGAAGAGAAAAAGGA